rnacentral:rRNA from 1 species
GAGCCUGAUGCAGCGACGCCGCGUGAGGGAUGACGGCCUUCGGGUUGUAAACCUCUUUCAGCACGGAAGAAGCGAGAGUGACGGUACGUGCAGAAGAAGCGCCGGCUAACUACGUGCCAGCAGCCGCGGUAAUACGUAGGGCGCAAGCGUUGUCCGGAAUUAUUGGGCGUAAAGAGCUCGUAGGCGGUUUGUCGCGUCUGCUGUGAAAGCCCGGGGCUUAACCCCGGGUGUGCAGUGGGUACGGGCAGACUUGAGUGCAGUAGGGGAGACUGGAAUUCCUGGUGUAGCGGUGAAAUGCGCAGAUAUCAGGAGGAACACCGAUGGCGAAGGCAGGUCUCUGGGCUGUUACUGACGCUGAGGAGCGAAAGCAUGGGGAGCGAACAGGAUUAGAUACCCUGGUAGUCCAUGCCGUAAACGUUGGGCACUAGGUGUGGGGGACAUUCCACGUUUUCCGCGCCGUAGCUAACGCAUUAAGUGCCCCGCCUGGGGAGUACGGCCGCAAGGCUAAAACUCAAAGGAAUUGACGGGGGCCCGCACAAGCGGCGGAGCAUGCGGAUUAAUUCGAUGCAACGCGAAGAACCUUACCAAGGCUUGACAUACACCGGACCGGUUCAGAGAUGUUCCUUCCCCCUUGUGGGGCUGGUGUACAGGUGGUGCAUGGUUGUCGUCAGCUCGUGUCGUGAGAUGUUGGGUUAAGUCCCGCAACGAGCGCAACCCUCGUUCUAUGUUGCCAGCACGUGAUGGUGGGGACUCAUAGGAGACUGCCGG